ensembl:miRNA
GCGGGCGCGGCGGGGACCGCGGGCGGGCGGCGGCCUAGGACGCGGAGGGCUGACCGGGAAUGGCGCGCCCUGCGCCGCCGGCGUAAUUGCGGCGCUUGCGUGCCCGC